rnacentral:lncRNA from 12 species
AGGUUUUAUGGUAUUUUUAAUACAAACUUUGCACAUUUCUUUUUAAGCUUAUUACUAGAUUUUAAAAGUAAAUUCUGUCGGUAUUAUGAAACGUGUUUAUCUUUUUGUCGUAGAAAAUUCGGAGUACUGUCAGAAGUAAGCAGAAUGGUAGAAUGAACACUCACGUGACCAUCCCUCAGCUUGAAAAUAUUUUUCUUGUAAAUUUUUAAUUGUGGUAAAUCACAUGACAUAAAAUCUACCAUCUUAACAAUUUUAAGCGGGCAGUUUAGUGGUGUUAAGAACAUUCCCACUGCUCCACGAGCAAUCUCAAGAACUCUCUCAAUCUCCAAAACUGAAACUCUUUACCCAUGAAACAACAACUCCCCAUUUCUCUCCCCCCAGCCCCCCCAGCUCCUGGCAACCACCACCCUCCUUUCUGUCUCUGUGAAUUUGAUGACCAUACGUGCCUCUUGUAAGUGAAGUCAAGCAGUAUUAGUUGUUUUUGUGACUGGCUUAUUUCGCUUAACAUCCGUCCUCAAGUUCCAUCUGUGCUGGGGCCUGUGCCGGGACAUCCUGCCCUGUUGAGGCUGAGUAAUAUCCCAUUGCAUGCAUAUACCACAUUCUGUUUGUCCUUCAUUUGUCAGUGGACACGUGAGUUGCCUCCACCUUUUGGGUUUGUGACUAAUGUCCUCACCCAGCUUUAGCAAUUAUCAACUCAGAGACAACCCAGUUUCAUCUGUAAUCCCACCGCGUUCCUCUUCCAUGUUAUUUGGAAGCAAAUCUGAAUGGAGUAAUUUAUAAACUAUAUUUUCUAUUUGGUUGAAGUUUAUUCCCCGGGAGGAUCAGAGCCUGGAAACCGAUCCUAAAUCACCCUCAAUAGCUUAAACUGCUUGGCAUAAAGGUGAAGUACAAGUGAUGUGGGAAAGCUGCCACAGAAAGGGUGGAUGAGGAAGGGGAAGUAGGUCAGAGUGGCUAAGGCUUGUCACAUGUGCAUGAACUUCUACUCUUCCUUACCGUCACCCUCUUCUAUUUCAGACGUUUUGUCCCCGAGCCAAGUUUGGGAGGACUGAAGCAGGGAGGAGUCCAAAGCUCACAGACCACUGUGACCAUCCUGGUUUGGGGGGGCUCGAGGAAGGCUCUGCAAAUCAUCCACUUGUCUAUAAGCGGGGCGAGUGGCCCUGACGUCUUUCUGCUCCAUCGACCUGAGAUUUCUCUCCGCCCUUAUGAGGAGCAUCAACAGCUGUGGAGAUCGACUAGCAUCCAGGAUCAAGAAAAGGCUGCAAGAUUUAGAACCUAAGAAGGAGAAUGAGAUAGCAAGUGCAACAAGGAAUGUCCAGAAGAGAACAACAACGGUUCCCCGCGUAUUCUAAAGCAGUGGUUCCUCAAGGCUUCACACACAUCAGGGGCUCCUUUAGGGCUUGUUAAAACUCCAGAGUGCUGGGCCCACCCCUGGAGUUUCUGAUUCAGUUGAUGUCUGGUGGGAUUGAUAAUUUGCAUUUCUAGCAAGUUCCCAGGGGCUGCUGAUGCUACAGGUCCAGAGGGGCCCCCUUUGAGAAUGACUUCACUGAAGAGAUUGGGAAGAGACGCCAAAGGGUGACGGGAGUGGUGAAGAGCUCACCUAGCAGUUCUGUUCUUUACCGAUGUGUGCAAGUCACGUAGCGUUUCCAGGCCUGGUUCUUCGUCUAUUAAGUGGGAUUGAUAAUAAAUGAGGGGUUAAGAGUUGGUCCA